UGCCAGACUCCUACGGGAGGCAGCAGUGGGGGAUAUUGGACAAUGGGGGAAACCCUGAUCCAGCGACGCCGCGUGAGUGAAGAAGUAUUUCGGUAUGUAAAGCUCUGUCAGCAGGGAAGAAAGAAAUGACGGUACCUGACCAAGAAGCCCCGGCUAACUACGUGCCAGCAGCCGCGGUAAUACGUAGGGGGCAAGCGUUAUCCGGAAUUACUGGGUGUAAAGGGAGCGUAGACGGUUAAGUAAGUCUGGAGUGAAAGGCCGGGGCCCAACCCCGGGACUGCUCUGGAAACUGUCCGGCUGAAGUGCAGGAGAGGUAAGUGGAAUUCCUAGUGUAGCGGUGAAAUGCGUAGAUAUUAGGAGGAACACCAGUGGCGAAGGCGGCUUACUGGACUGUAACUGACGUUGAGGCUCGAAAGCGUGGGGAGCAAACAGGAUUAGAUACCCGCGUAACU
rnacentral:rRNA from 1 species